UACGAAGGGGGCUAGCGUUGCUCGGAAUCACUGGGCGUAAAGGGUGCGUAGGCGGGUCUUUAAGUCAGGGGUGAAAUCCUGGAGCUCAACUCCAGAACUGCCUUUGAUACUGAAGAUCUUGAGUUCGGGAGAGGUGAGUGGAACUGCGAGUGUAGAGGUGAAAUUCGUAGAUAUUCGCAAGAACACCUGUGGCGAAGGCGGCUCACUGGCCCGAUACUGACGCUGAGGCACGAAAGCGUGGGGAGCAAACAGG
rnacentral:rRNA from 1 species